AAGGAAAAUAAGAGGCUCUACUACAAAAAGGACCGUGCGGUACUCGAGAGGUUAUCCAAAGCGUUGAAGCUGCACCACUUUCUUGGAAAGGCACACAUGAAAGAGAAUCAAGGCAAGAGAACGCUGAAUAAGAAGAAUGCUGCAUCAUCGCCUUUAACAGGAUCCACAUUGGCAUCUACAUCGCCCUCAAUAGGAUC